GGCUAUUAUCUUUUUUGAAUUUAUUGAACCAUAAAACUAUUUUUUGACUCUUCACAUUGAAUAAUCCGCGAAUUAGUUUUAUGGUUCAAUAAAGUCAAAAUAAAAAAUAGCCA
rnacentral:sRNA from 1 species